rnacentral:rRNA from 1 species
AUCACAUCCUGGGGCUGAAGUAGGUCCCAAGGGUAUGGCUGUUCGCCAUUUAAAGUGGUACGCGAGCUGGGUUUAGAACGUCGUGAGACAGUUCGGUCCCUAUCUGCCGUGGGCGUUGGAGAAUUGAAAGGGGCUGCUCCUAGUACGAGAGGACCGGAGUGGACGCAUCACUGGUGUUCCAGUUGUUUCGCCAGAAGCAUUGCUGGGUAGCUACAUGCGGAAUAGAUAAGUGCUGAAAGCAUCUAAGCACGAAACUAGCCUUGAGAUGAGUUCUCCCAAUCUAUAAGAUUGUAAGGGUUGUUUGAGACUAAGACGUAGAUAGGCAGGGUGUGUAAGCGUUGUGAGACGUUGAGCUAACCUGUACUAAUUGCCCGAGAGACUUAACCAU